GGAGGGGCCAUGGCUCAGUGGUAGAGUAUCUGCUUGAUAUGCAAAAGUUCUCAGAUUUAACCCCUGCCAUUUCCA
rnacentral:tRNA from 1 species